rnacentral:rRNA from 1 species
GACGAACGCUGGCGGCGUGCCUAAUACAUGCAAGUCGAGCGGACCAAAGGGAGCUUGCUCCUGGAGGUUAGCGGCGAACGGGUGAGUAACACGUGGGCAACCUGCCUGUAAGACUGGGAUAACAUCGAGAAAUCGGUGCUAAUACCGGAUAAUAAAAAGAACUGCAUGGUUCUUUUUUGAAAGAUGGUUUCGGCUAUCACUUACAGAUGGGCCCGCGGCGCAUUAGCUAGUUGGUGAGGUAACGGCUCACCAAGGCGACGAUGCGUAGCCGACCUGAGAGGGUGAUCGGCCACACUGGGACUGAGACACGGCCCAGACUCCUACGGGAGGCAGCAGUAGGGAAUCUUCCGCAAUGGACGAAAGUCUGACGGAGCAACGCCGCGUGAGUGAUGAAGGUUUUCGGAUCGUAAAACUCUAGUUGUUAGGGAAGAACAAGUGCCGUUCGAAAGGCGGCACCUUGACGGUACCUAACGAGAAAGCCACGGCUAACUACGUGCCAGCAGCCGCGGUAAAG